rnacentral:lncRNA from 1 species
GUUCAAAAUUGGUUGAAAAAGAGAAAAUGUUAUUAGACGAUUAGGAUCCAUCAAAGGCCUUAGAAUUCAUUACACUCCUUGGAUUUCUAGUAAAUUUUUGAGUCUAUUCAAGUAGAUUAGAGGCAAUUGUAUCUUGAUUAUUAGUAGAUGAGUCUUUAAGUCGUAUUUUCCUUAAAAACGCUUUUUGUUAACACCAACGAAAUUAGAGUAGAGUCGAGUAGACACUUGCUAGAAUAUCUCGAAGAUUUUAUGGGUAUAUCUUCUGUAAACCCUUAGGAGACAAAACUCCUCUUGUAGAGAUCGUCUACGAGUUUAACGGGUUGGUGAACCUAAAAUCACCCGUCACGCCUACGAAAAGGAGCCUAGGAAUCGCAUCUAGUUUUCAUAGUUUAUUUUCUUUUCUUUUUGAUUUUACUCGAGGACGAGCAAAAUAUAGGUAUGGGGAAGUUUG